rnacentral:rRNA from 1 species
AACGAACGCUGGCGGCAUGCCUAACACAUGCAAGUCGAACGAUGCCUUCGGGCAUAGUUGCGCGCGGGUGCGUAACGCGUGGGAAUCUGCCUUUCGGUUCGGAAUAACUCAGGGAAACUUGAGCUAAUACCGGAUAACGUCGCAAGACCAAAGAUUUAUCACCGAAAGAUGAGCCCGCGUAGGAUUAGCUAGUUGGUGAGGUAAAGGCUCACCAAGGCGACGAUCCUUAGCUGGUCUGAGAGGAUGAUCAGCCACACUGGGACUGAGACACGGCCCAGACUCCUACGGGAGGCAGCAGUGGGGAAUAUUGGACAAUGGGCGAAAGCCUGAUCCAGCGAUGCCGCGUGAGUGAUGAAGGACUUAGGGUUGUAAAGCUCUUUUACCCGGGAAGAUAAUGACGGUACCGGGCGAAUAAGCCCCGGCUAACUCCGUG